rnacentral:rRNA from 1 species
AUUGAACGCUGGCGGCAUGCCUUACACAUGCAAGUCGAACGGCAGCACGGGAGCAAUCCUGGUGGCGAUUGGCGAACGGGUGAGUAAUAUACCGGAACGUGCCCAGUCGUGGGGGAUAACGUAGCGAAAGCUACGCUAAUACCGCAUACGAUCUAUGGAUGAAAGCGGGGGAUCGCAAGACCUCGCGCGAUUGGAGCGGCCGAUAUCAGAUUAGGUAGUUGGUGGGGUAAAGGCUCACCAAGCCGACGAUCUGUAGCUGGUCUGAGAGGACGACCAGCCACACUGGGACUGAGACACGGCCCAGACUCCUACGGGAGGCAGAAGUGGGGAAUUUUGGACAAUGGGCGCAAGCCUGAUCCAGCAAUGCCGCGUGCAGGAUGAAGGCCUUCGGGUUGUAAACUGCUUUUGUACGGAGCGAAAAGGCUCUCUCUAAUACAGGGGGCUCAUGACGGUACCGUAAGAAUAAGCACCGGCUAACUACGUGCCAGCAGCCGCCGUAA